GCAUUACUCCCUCCGUUCAGAAUUACUUGUCGCAAAAAUGGAUGUAUCUAGACUUAUUUUAGUUCUAGAUACAUCCAUUUUCGAGACAAGUAAUUCCGAAUGGAGGGAGUACUUC
rnacentral:pre_miRNA from 1 species